UACGGAGGGUGCAAGCGUUAUCCGGAUUUACUGGGUUUAAAGGGUGUGUAGGCGGGCUUUUAAGUCAGUGGUGAAAUCUCCGGGCUCAACCUGGAAACUGCCAUUGAUACUAUUAGUCUUGAAUAUUGUUGAGGUAGGCGGAAUAAGUCAUGUAGCGGUGAAAUGCAUAGAUAUGACUUAGAACACCAAUUGCGAAGGCAGCUUGCUAAACAAUGAUUGACGCUGAGGCACGAAAGCGUGGGGAU
rnacentral:rRNA from 1 species